rnacentral:autocatalytically_spliced_intron from 1 species
AUAAGUCCAUGCGACCUGGUAGAGUAAUUUACCAGAAAAAUCCGACUGAAAUCGGUGAAGUCCUAUCUUGACUUCGGGUAACUUUCGGGUUACUCUGAAGAUAAGAGGAUAAUACCGAGGGAAGUCCGACGUAACGUCGGACCCCGUAGAGACUGAUAUGGAAGGUACCAGACAAUCUGGAGAACAAACUUCCAUUAUACGUCGGCACCUCCGAAAUUUCGGAGGAUGAAGAUAUAGUCCAUGCCCUCAGUAAUGAGUGG